rnacentral:rRNA from 1 species
AGUGAACGCUGGCGGUAGGCCUAACACAUGCAAGUCGAACGGCAGCACAGUAAGAGCUUGCUCUUACGGGUGGCGAGUGGCGGACGGGUGAGGAAUACGUCGGAAUCUACUUUUUCGUGGGGGAUAACGUAGGGAAACUUACGCUAAUACCGCAUACGACCUACGGGUGAAAGCAGGGGAUCUUCGGACCUUGCGCGAUUGAAUGAGCCGAUGUCGGAUUAGCUAGUUGGCGGGGUAAAGGCCCACCAAGGCGACGAUCCGUAGCUGGUCUGAGAGGAUGAUCAGCCACACUGGAACUGAGACACGGUCCAGACUCCUACGGGAGGCAGCAGUGGGGAAUAUCGGACAAUGGGCGCAAGCCUGAUCCAGCCAUACCGCGUGGGUGAAGAAGGCCUUCGGGUUGUAAAGCCCUUUUGUUGGGAAAGAAAAGCAGCAGGUUAAUACCCCGCUGUUCUGACGGUACCCAAAGAAUAAGCACCGGCUAACUUCGUG